AUGAAUGCCCCUCCCGCUUUCGAGUUGUUCCUGCUCUUCGAAGGCGAGAAGGUCACCAUCAACAAGGACACCAAGGUGCCCAAUGCCUGCUUGUUCACCAUCAACAAAGAAGACCACACCCUCGGAAACAUCAUCAAAUCUCAGCUGUUGAAAGACCCACAGGUGCUAUUCGCCGGCUACAAAGUCCCCCACCCCUGGAGCAUAAGAUCAUCAUCCGAGUGCAGACCGCCCCCGACUAUAGCCCGCAGGAGGCCUUCACCAACGCCAUCACGGACCUCAUCAGCGAGCUCUCCCUGUUGGAGGAGCGCUUCCGGGUGGCCAUCAAAGACAAGCAAGAAGGAAUUGAAUAGUGAACUGGAAGGAGCCUUGCCCAGCCAGAAA